rnacentral:rRNA from 1 species
GACGAACGCUGGCGGCGCGCUUAACACAUGCAAGUCGAACGGAAAGGGCCUGCUUUUGGGGGGUGUACAAGGGGCGAAGGGGGGGUAAACACGUGGGUAACCUGCCUUCUACUGGGGGAUAACUUCGGGAAACGGGGGCUAAUACCGGAAAUGAGCUCCUGCUGCAUGGUGGGGGUUGGAAAGUUUCGGCGGAGGGGGAUGGGCUCGCGGCUUGUCAGCUUGUUGGUGGGGUAGUGGCUUACCAAGGCAUUGAUGGGUAGCCGGGUUGAGAGGGUGACCGGCCAGAUUGGGACUGAGACACGGCCCAGACUCCUACGGGAGGCAGCAGUGGGGAAUCUUGCACAAUGGGCGGAAGCCUGAUGCAGCAACGCCGCGUGCGGGAUGAAGGCCUUCGGGUUGUAAACCGCUUUCGCCUGUGACGAAGCGUGAGUGACGGUACUGGCUAAAGAAGCCCCGGCUAACUACGUG